GUUGACCCUGGUCCUGGUACAGCCCCCAGGGCUGCUUGCAGCUCUGGCCAGGCAGGUGCCAUGCCCGACUAAGCAGAAACCCCUGGUGAGGCUCUUUAUUGAGGAGGAGCCGGCCCACUACAGAGAGAAGAAAAACAUCCCAUCUACAUGACAGUGAAGGGAGUGGUGUUUUAUGUCACCUCCAGAAAGGAAUUUUAUGGAAGAAGGGGCCCCCUAUAAUGCAUUGACCAGGAAAGUCCACCAGAGGGAUAGCCAAGAUGUCCCUGGGUCCUCCAGACCUCACCCAUGAAACUCUGGGUCUCAUGGCCAAAGAGCUGGAAUCCCUGGAUGAUAUCUUCACCAAAGUGUACAAAACCAAAUAUCCCAUGGUUAGCUACACAGUCUGAAGAAUUCUUAAUAGGGACAGCACCCCAGCCUGGACUUCAAACCUGAAGACCAACCCCAUUUUGACAUAAACAAUGUGUUC
rnacentral:lncRNA from 1 species